AUGGCAGCUCAAGGAGACCUGAAGUUGCUAGGCUUGUCGGUGAGCCCAUUCGUAGUUCGUGUUCGCAUGGCGCUCCACAUGAAGGGCUUGAGCUACGAGUAUAUCAAACGGGACCUCUUCAACAAGAGUGAGCUCCUCCUCAAGUCCAACCCGGUGGAGAAGAAGGUGCCCAUACUCAUCCACGAUGGCAAGACCGUACUCGAUUCUUCGGUCAUCGUGCAGUACAUCGACGAAGUCUGGGCCGCCAUGGGGCCGUCGAUCCUCCCUGUCGACCCCUACGAGCGCGCCACCGCCCCCUUCUGGGCCGCCUACGUCGACGACAAACUAUUCUCCGCUUAUGUCGGUGUUAAUAAAGCAGUGACGGAGGUGGAGAGGAUGGAGAAGGUUAGCGAGACGCUUGCGGUGCUAGAGCAACUUGAGGAGGCAUUUGCCAAGCAUUCCAACGGAAAGGGCUUCUUCGCCGGGGACUCCAUCGGGUACCUUGACCUCGCAGUAGGAUGCCACUUGCACUGGCUCAAGGCGCAGUGUAAGAUGUUCGGCGUGGUGUUCCUCGACGCCGGCAAGACUCCGCUCUUAGCGACCUGGGCGAAACGGUUCACUGAGACCGAUGCGGCGAAGGAGGUGGUACCUGACACAGACGUGGUGAUGGAGUAUGCUAAGAAGCGCCAGGCUUAUCGUGUUGCUGUUGCUGCGGCGGCAGCGAGUGCCAAGUGA
rnacentral:rRNA from 1 species